GCGGGGCUGGGCCCGGGGCGGAGCGGAGCGGGGGCGGUGCAGGGCGGUGCUCCCGCCCGCUGGGCCGCGCCGUGCUGGGGAGAGGGCGGAGCGCGGCCUGCGGCCCUCGCCAUGGCCAAGCACGUUUUUCUCACCGGACCCCCAGGUGUUGGAAAAACUACUUUGAUACAGAAAGUCACUCAGGCUCUAAAAUCCUCGGGCAUUCCCAUUGAUGGAUUUUACACAGAGGAAGUUAGAGAAGGUGGCAGGAGAACAGGAUUUGAUGUUGUCACUUUAUCUGGAAAACGAGGACCUUUAUCUAGAGUCAGUUCUGAUUCUUCUACUUCAAGACGUGAAUAUCGGGUUGGACAGUAUGUUGUAGACCUUGUUUCAUUUGAGCAUUUGGUUCUACCUGUGCUGAGAAAUGUAAGCCAUGGCAGUGAUGCAGAGAAAAAAAUUUGUGUCAUAGAUGAGAUUGGUAAAAUGGAACUCUUCAGCCAGGCUUUUAUUCAAGCUGUUCGUCAAAUGCUGGCUGGCUCAGGGACCAUGGUGCUUGGAACUAUUCCAAUACCUAAGGGAAAGCCAUUGGAUCUUGUUGAAGAAAUAAGAAGUAGGAAAGAUGUGAAAGUGUUCAAUACUGGCUUGCGGAAGUAUUACCAGUAAUCAUAUUCAAGAAAAAAAAAAGGAAACAAAAAAACCCAGCAGUAGUGGAGCUUGCAGAAACGCUUUCUAGGAGAAAGACACUUGUAAAUGGAGCGUACUUUCUCUGCAGUCAGUGAACCAAUUUUGGGAUUCAUUAUAUUAUCUUUACAGCCAUAAUUUUCAGAAUACUAGGGCCUCAGAGUGCAUUUCUGAUCAGAUGCGGGGAGAUUCUCAAAAACUUAGCACAACAAAACAGCCUGUUCACAGGAAUACGUGUUAGUAAGGAAAACAGAAACAGCAUUUUGCAAGACAUCUUGGCAGCUGUGGAAUCCUGCAGAAAAUGAAGACCUUUUCUUGCCUGUAAACGCUAAAGCCUUUAUUUCAACAAAACAUUACGACAUUUUGCGGACGUUUUAGAGUCUGUCCUUCCUCCUUUAGCCCCUGGAGGCUUUACUGGAGCCUUCAGGGUAAGCAAGGUAAAGCUGGUAAUACUCGAACAUGUGAAAAUGAGAUAGCAGUAUUCUUGUUUAUUCAGUUCACAAGGCAAUCCAUUCAAAAGAUUGAACAGAUGCAUAUUUAACAUCCAGUUCUAAUCUGGGUAUUUGGAAGUUAGGUGGCCUGACUCCGAUCCUAGUUGCACCAUGUAAAAGCAAUUAACUGUCAGAACUGUUUGAGAUCUUCGUCCUUUCACUGUGCUGAGGACUGUUCUGCCUAAAGAGCAAUUCAAUAUCUGGAACGUAGCCCUGGUGUAACAGAACAGAACCCUGCCCAAAAUGUGCUCAGCCUGCUUCAUGUAGAAGUAUCUUUGCUGUUGGUGACCCAGCUUAGGUGCGUCCAGGUGUGUUUCGCCAUGGGUGUUGACAAUUCACAUGGUACAAGGAAUAAGCAGAUGCUCUCCCCCUACCCCCAGAUACCCCUUCCUCCAGUUGCAGUACAAGAAGGGUUAUCUAGAAUUUAAAGGAAAUUUCUUGUAGUGCCAAGUGACAUUUACAGAACUCUGCUUCAGGAGAAAAAAAUAACCAACUCUCCUAAGUGGCCCUGACAGUAGUUGGUAAGAGGGCUGCAUUCUGGGAUUAUUUUUAAGUUUCUUAUGGCAAUCCCGCCUCGCACCCCCUUAAAAAAAAUUAUAUAUAAAUCUUCAAAUCCAUAAAGUUCAGUCAAAUCUUGAGUUGUGUAUUAAUUCAGGAUCAACUUCAUGCUGCAUUCGUCUAUAUGGGUUUUACAGUCCAUUAUGUUUAUUGAUACUUUGGUUGGUUGGUUUUUUGUCUUAUUCAGUUCUGUACAUGGUUAAUGGUGAAAUAAGUGUUUGAGAGUGUUAGACAAUGUGUUUCCCUAUGACGUGUGCAAACAUGUUCAGGAAAAGUGCUACCACUUAAUCAGUUUUGCAUGUUGUGAAAACAGAAUUCCCUCCCAGGUGCACACUUGUUCAUUGUACGAUUUAUAGUCAUCUCUGGCUGUAAAAAGUUAUUAAGAAUUUGGUCAUUUCUUAAGAUUUUUUUCUGUGCAGUUCAACAACUGUUAAAAUGAGCAAGCUAUAUAAAAGCAUUUUCAAAUAUGA